rnacentral:tRNA from 1 species
GUGGGUAGAGCUCAGUGGUAGAGCGCAUGCUAAGCAUGCAUGAGGUUCUGGGUUCGAUCCCCAAUACUUUCA